rnacentral:rRNA from 1 species
AUGGCGUCCGGUCAGGAGAAGGGGAGGUCGGAGCUGGACAGCUUGGCCCGCGAGGGGCAGACCGUCGUCCCCGGAGGCACCGGCGGGAAGAGCUACGAGGCGCAGGAGAAACUCGCCGAAGGGCGCAGCCGUGGUGGGCAGACUCGGAAGGAGCAGAUGGGGGAGGAGGGGUACAGUGAGAUGGGGCGCAAGGGCGGGCUGAGCACCAACGACGAGUCCGGCGGCGAGCGCGCCGCCAGGGAGGGCAUAGACAUCGACGAGUCCAAGUUCAAGACCAAGUCCUAG